UAUUGCGAGAGGUUCGAUUUCUUUCAUUGUGAGUAACCCGAGCAAGGGUAAGUGACCUCAAGAAUGCACUGCGAUUAACGUAAUUACUAUCCCACGUUAUGAUUUAUCAAUUAUCAUUGUUCAAAUGAAUUUCACGCAACAGUUUCCUAUUGAAAUCUAAUUAGGUAAUUUUCAAGAUUUGCCAACCAGCAAUCUAUGUAAGUACAAUGUUCAUGGAAUAAUUGAUAUAAAAGUACGAUAAACGCUUUGUAAGAAUUUCCAUUCUGUUUUUGCAUAUAGGUAUGUACAAUCAGACGUGUUACAUUCAAAUUCAAACUCGAGUUCAGUAAGUUUAGGUACCUACUUUGAAAUAAUUUUCGGUCAAACUUGGAAGAAAUUUUACGUGGUUUUUCAAAUUCAAUUUAAACGAGAUUCGCAGAUUGAUAGCAGAGCAAACGUGAAGUGGGUAAUAAUGAUUUCGUUACCAAGUUUCUCUUCGUCAUUGGCUGUACUCCUGAUAUGCAGCUUCAUUCCUGUCACCGUCCCCGGCGCGCCAAAGAAUUUGAAAGUUGAUUUCCGUGAUACCGUUGUGGGUGAAAUUGAAAAUGUACUUUUUAUAGAUAAAAACGUCAAUUUUUUUGUUCAAGAAGACGCUGGAACAUUAUGUUACAUCGCUUACGUACUCAAUCCUUUUGCUACGAUGGAUUCCAAGUGUGACGACAUGGAUUUAUGUAUAUUUGCCAAUGAGGCUUUCAUACGGAGGGACAGAGUUGCUCUUUUAAUCGUCGAUGUGAACGGCUCUCCCAAAAUAACUGGAAUAUAUUAUGCUGACAGAGAUUAUAUAUAUGAUUGGAAAGACCCUACCUAUGAAAAACUUUGCGAAUACUUUUGGCUAGAGGAAGGAGAACAAGAAGAAUACCCCUAUUGGCUACUCAAGAAUAAAUCAAACAUAUUUUCUGAUGAUUUGCAAUUUAUUAAUGAAAAACACUAGACUUCUAAAUUUAUUUCAUAAUUUAAAAAAAUAAUCAGCAUUUUCUGAUGAUUUCUUACUUUUUUCAUGUAAUUUCUAUAAAAAUAAGUAAAAAAUUGGUAAGUAUAAAGAUAAAAAUCCGUAUAUGUAUAUUAUUUUUUCCAUACUUUUGAAAAAUCCGUGCAGCCAAUCCGUACAUCUCAAAAAUGUGGACAGAUACGGAUUUUUUCGAAAUAAUAUAGGUACCUACCCAACUUGUGAUUGUGAACAGAGCAAGUUGAUAUCUUUGUCUUAUGCUAGCUUUUAAUUAUACCUACCUAUGAAUUAUUGGAAAUUGAAGUCAAUAAAAUAAUACCUACCUA